GGCCAAAAUGUGGUUAGCUCAGCUGGUUAGAGCAUGGUGCUAAUAAUGCCAAGGUCAUGGGUUCAAGCCCCAUUUUGGCCA